CCACUGACGUGUAUAGUAUAACUGGACUGCGGAUGUUCGAUGUGUUGUGAAGCAACGGCUGGGGGCGGGACAUGGGACGAUUUUUGGGCGGAAGAAGGAAGUAGAGCGCCUUUUUCCAUUGAUCUCUAUGGUGGACUUGAAGCCAUAUAGUUCCUAGGCAAUUCUUGCCGAGUCGGCCCUGUUUCGUUAAAACGGUAGUCUCCCCUCCCUCCCAAACAACCCAGAUAUUUUUUUCGGGCUGACCCUUUAUUUAAGAAAGCUAUUAAAAUAGUUUAAAUGACCAAUGAGCAUGGCUAUUUGGGUUGAUUGGCAGUUGCCAUUCUUUAGAAUUAUUGUUUUGAUUGACAGGCAGGCCGUUGUCAAGGAGAAGGGCGAGUCUCGCGGCGUCUCCAGGGGAAGCCCCCUCCCUCCCUGCUGCAUUACUUUCAACCAGCUCUGCUUUCAACAGCUUCAUUACUGCGAUGGGUUAUUUAAUUUUGGUACACUUUCCCCACAAAUAUGCGUUGUUGUACUUUUGGAUGUACUUCUCCGUACUCUGUAAGGACCUCUGCAGUUUUGGUAAGUAAAAUAAAAACAUGUAUAUACGUGGCUGAUUGACCAAAAUGACUGAGCUUUGUUAAACAAACACGUACGACAAUGCUAGCUUGUUAUUAGCCCAAGACAGCAUGCUGAUCUUUCAGUGUUUGAUGAUCUGUCGGCUUGUCAAGUAACUUAAUUAUAAUUUGAAUGCCAUUGCUUUUGAAAGCAAAAUGUGUCUGUUUGGCGUGCGUCAGGUGUAAUUCCCUCCUUCCGUACCGUAGCCAAGUCCUUACAUCAAGAUGAGUAAACAUUUCACUACCAUUCUGGCACUAUGCUGGCCAGUGGCCACAUCGGAAAAGCAACGUAGUCUAGCUGUGUUCCUCCGUCAACUGUUAAAUAUUGUUUGUUUCUGUGUUGCCAAAUUGCUAGUUGGUGAUGAAAUGAUGGUCAUUGGUACGUUCGUUUUCAGUAUGCAAAUUGCGUCAUUAAUGUUGACUGUACUGAGUGACGAGUGCAUAGUGUAAUGCAAAUUGUGUCAUUAAUGUUUAAUUGUAGGCCUACUGACGAGUGCAUUGUGUAGUAAACAUUUCCCCAUCCUCAUGUGACAUGGUUUCAUUCUGUAGGCAAACAACAAACCACACUUCACCUGGAAAACAGAGCCAGGACUCACUGUCAGAUGUCUGAAAAUGUACAGUAGGCUACACGCCAGCAGGUCUCACCAUAGUCAACAUCAUCAAGGAUUGUCACUCUGACCUGAGAAGAGGCCCCAUAGAGACACGGACAAGGACCAGCCACUGUUGCCAGUGCACAACUGAGGACCCGACCAGCCUGCUGCCAUCUAUGAUACUAUAUAGUACCCGCGGAGCGGUCUGAAGACGUGGAGUACACUGCAGCAGGUAUCACAUGACCAAGGACUUGGACAACGUCUCUGUUUACAUCUAUAGUGUAUUACACAACUGAAGAUGUGCACAGUACGCUACUGCCUGCAUCCUACCACCACAGAGGAUCCGAUAUGCAGAACCAGCUUCAAAAACCAUUGCAAUUAUGAAACACAGUUAAUAAAUGCUUAUAUACAGCA